CGGCGGACGGGUGAGUAACGCGUGGGUAACCUGCCUCAUACAGGGGAUAACAGUUGGAAACGGCUGCUAAUACCGCAUAAGCGCACAGUACCGCAUGGUACCGUGUGAAAAACUCCGGUGGUAUGAGAUGGACCCGCGUCUGAUUAGCUAGUUGGUGGGGUAACGGCCUACCAAGGCGACGAUCAGUAGCCGACCUGAGAGGGUGACCGGCUACAUUGGGACUGAGACACGGCCCAA
rnacentral:rRNA from 1 species